AGGUCAAGUCUGAUACAAUGAUCACUGGGAGGGUGUCAUUAGGUCCUAGAAUUGCAUACUUGAGUGUGACUGAAAGUGGCUUUAAUUCUAGUGCUGGUGGUGAUUUUAAUGAUGGGACUAUAGGUGUAUUAGCUAAUGCGGGCAAUGGCUCGUAUUUGAUUGUCCAAAGGGGAGUAGUUUUGGUAUUUGAUGUAUCAACUAGAAUAUUUAUUUCUUCACUAUCUCUUUCCAUAUCACAGUCAUCCACUCCAAAAUGCGUCAAGUG
rnacentral:lncRNA from 1 species